rnacentral:rRNA from 1 species
GACGAACGCUGGCGGCGUGCCUAAUACAUGCAAGUUGAGCGCUGAAGGUUGGUACUUGUACCAACUGGAUGAGCAGCGAACGGGUGAGUAACGCGUGGGGAAUCUGCCUUUGAGCGGGGGACAACAUUUGGAAACGAAUGCUAAUACCGCAUAAAAACUUUAAACACAAGUUUUAAGUUUGAAAGAUGCAAUUGCAUCACUCAAAGAUGAUCCCGCGUUGUAUUAGCUAGUUGGUGAGGUAAAGGCUCACCAAGGCGAUGAUACAUAGCCGACCUGAGAGGGUGAGCGGCCACAUUGGGACUGAGACACGGCCCAAACUCCCACGGGAGGCAGCAGUGGGGAAUUUUCGGGAAUGGACGAAAGUCGGACCGAGCAACGCCGGGUGAGUGAAAAAGGUUUUCGGAUCGAAAAACUCUUUUGGUGGAGAAGAACGUUGGGGGGGGGGGAAAGCUAAUCAAGUGGCGGAAACUACCCAAAAAGGGACGGCUAACUACGU